UACGUAGGUGGCAAGCGUUGUCCGGAAUUAUUGGGCGUAAAGAGCGCGCAGGCGGCCUGAUCAGUCGAAUGUGAAAGCCCCCGGCUCAACUGGGGAGGGUCAUUCGAUACUGUCAGGCUAGAAGGCAGGAGAGGGAAGUGGAAUUCCCGGUGUAGUGGUGAAAUGCGUAGAUAUCGGGAGGAACACCAGUGGCGAAGGCGACUUUCUGGACAGUGACUGACGCUGAGACGCGAAAGCGUGGGGAGCAAACAGG
rnacentral:rRNA from 1 species